CAUCUUCCACCAUGACUCUGAAGCCUCCCCAGCCGUGUGGAACUGUGACUCCAUUGAACUUCUUUCCUUUAUAAUUAGCCAGUCUCAGAACACUAGAAGUCCCUGGGAAAGUCUGACUAGUGAAGCUCAUACAAUUAACUGUGAUGGUGGAGAUGAGGAUAGUCUUAAAGGUAACACGGUUGCAACAGACCCAUCUAUGUGAAUAUAAAGACUCUUCCUUCUGCAGCAAGUAGAAGGCAUGACUGAAGCAACUCAAGUCUACAUCAUCCCAGCCUCACAAUCUCCCAAGAGAACAAGAGCCCCAGUUGGCCAACAUCUGAACAUAAAUUCUCAUCAGUCCACCUUCAUAAGCAGAUGGGAAGGGUCUCCAGGGAUAACAGGAAUUUAACCAACUUCAGCAAUCAGCCUGGUUUACAGCCUCCUGCCCUGCAGCCUGUUCUUCCACAAACCCUGGGUAAAAUGCAGUCACCUUGUUGGUUUAAACCAGCUCCUGACAGACCCCCGGCAACAUACAGAUGAACUCAAGUGAACUUUCUCAUGACCACGCUAAAGUCUCCACCCUGGGCAACCUGUAGCUUCAUUACCAUGACAUGCAACUUAUGCGUUGACGUAAUGACUCACUGCAUCUGUGCAACUAGACCUCUCC
rnacentral:lncRNA from 1 species